rnacentral:misc_RNA from 1 species
UCAUAUUAAAUAAAUCUAAGGAACGAGAGAGAAUAAGCGUUAAUUUUGUUCCAGCACUUUUUUUUUUUGCUCUACUGUUAGAAAUGCAUACCCCGGUAUCCCUAAAACCCUAAAACACAACCAAGGAAAUCAAUGAUUCUCCAAGAUUAUUGAAUGGCUGCUUUUGUGCAUUCAAAACGAAUAAAAUCUAACAUAUGGGAUAUGGCUACAUUAGAAAAAGCACCGCACACAAACCUCAAUACCUGAGCUAUCUUUAAGCUAGAAUUAGCAUCUUCUGCUAAUUUAAUGAAAAGUUAGCAAAAACUACAGUAUUGAGGUAAAUAACCAAAAUUUUUAUGAUAUCAUUGCUUCAAGUGAGAUUAUUCUGAAACACUGCGUUUUUGCUCAAGUUGAAUUUUCUUUUCCAAUUGCCAAUUUGCACAAGAGCAGGAAGAAAAGACAAAAAUGAAAGAAAGAAAUUUAACUGAAGUAUGAAAUGGAUAC